rnacentral:rRNA from 1 species
GAUGAACGCUGGCGGCGUGCCUAAUACAUGCAAGUCGAGCGAACAGACGAGGAGCUUGCUCCUCUGACGUUAGCGGCGGACGGGUGAGUAACACGUGGAUAACCUACCUAUAAGACUGGGAUAACUUCGGGAAACCGGAGCUAAUACCGGAUAAUAUAUUGAACCGCAUGGUUCAAUAGUGAAAGACGGUUUUGCUGUCACUUAUAGAUGGAUCCGCGCCGCAUUAGCUAGUUGGUAAGGUAACGGCUUACCAAGGCAACGAUGCGUAGCCGACCUGAGAGGGUGAUCGGCCACACUGGAACUGAGACACGGUCCAGACUCCUACGGGAGGCAGCAGUAGGGAAUCUUCCGCAAUGGGCGAAAGCUUGACGGAGCAACGCCGCGUGAGUGAUGAAGGUCUUCGGAUCGUAAAACUCUGUUAUUAGGGAAGAACCAAUGUGUAAGUAACUAUGCACGUCUUGACGGUACCUAAUCAGAAAGCCACGGCUAACUACGUG